GUCGAUCGUCGGCGCGAACUGUGAUAAAAUGUUCAACCAAAUUCGUCCAAAUAUUAUUAUUGCGUAUCUGCCAAUUAUCUUCUAAUCCGAAAAUCACUUCAACCUCAUUUACAUCGUCCCCAAGGUAAAAUUCAAAUGAAUAAAACCAACCUAAAUGAACAUGAAUAGUGUUCAUUCAGGUUGUCGAUAUAACCAAUGGUGUUAAUCCACCUACCCAACACCUGGUCUUUCAUCUUUAACCCGCGUGUCUUUGUGUGGAUGUGUUUAAUUGGAUGAUGAGGCGGUGCCUAGCGUCCUCAUCAGAUUUAGACGCCAAACCACAAGCAAAUCACCAAAUGUCCAUCCAGAGAGAGAAAGUGAUAGAGAGAGACGGAGGUUGUCGCAGCCCUUGUCUUCACUCCGCCGUCUCUGGCGGACGGUGGUGGUACUAAACCCGUCACCUUCACCAUGGUGCCCGUCAGUUGGUGGCGGAUGGUGGCGCCACCGCCUCUAUCGGACGGUGGCGCUCUUGAAUCCGCCGCCUUCGCCAUGCUGCCAGGCGAUCGUUGGUGACGGAUUCACAUGAGGGUUCCGGUGGUGUAUCGGCGGUGCUUUUGAUUUACUCCGGCAAUAGGAACGAUGGCCCUCAUCUUUGUUUCACUCAUCAUAUAGCGGCCAAGAAGAUUUAAAGGUUCUUGAGAGAUAAUCUAGACAGAGGAAGGGAGAGAGGUGGUAGGCACGGUGGACGACCGACGGAGGGCAGCGGCUUACAACGCAGAAGACGGUCUUCAUCGUUUUCCUCCGUCACUUGAAACCAGAUCCGCCGGCUGUGGCUUCUAGAAGACGUACUGCCGACAGCAUCGGCGAACUGAGAUAGCGAUCCUUUGUCUUUGAGAUCAAAACGAUAUGAGAAAGAGGGAAAGAGGGCAGGGGCGGAGACAAGGCGGCGAUUAGGGUUCCUGCGCAAGCUAUUACUUCCAUCAAUCGAUUAUCCGAUCUAUGGUUGCAUGUCCCUUCAAUGGAUAGAUUGACUACUUGCACAGUCGUCGGAAUGAUCUUCUCUCUCCUCCAGUGGUUCCUCCUCUCCAAAGUCUCCCUCUCACUUGAUAAACCAGAGUUUAUGGAGUCGUUGAUCGAGGAAGAAGAAGGUGUUCAUGAUCAUACCGUUAUUCAGAACACUGUCUCUAAAGGAUCAAGUUCUACAAGAUAUGAGUGAUCAAGAUCUUUAUCAAGCACUUGGUGAUUUAUAAUGAAACUCAUUUGAAAACUUUGUUCUAUCACCUGUAGUGUUGUUGAUUGAUGAAAGGCGAUUGAUUAUGUCAGGUUUAAUAAAAAAAAUUAUAAUUGCGGCUUAGUGAUAUUCGGCUGCUAAUUGUAUAGGUUAUGUGUUAAGUAGUAAGUCCUAGGGUGGGGCUUAAUGAAAUCAGUGUAACCCGGGUUGCGACCGAGCACUAGAGAGAAAUGAUUUUGCUGCACAUGAUAAAUUUGGAUGGAAUAAUUAUGAUCUGGUUUGUUGAUUCUGUUUUAUAUAGGUUUUAAUAUAUAAUUAAUAUAAUAAAAUGAUAAAUUUGGAUGGAAUAAUUAAGAAUGUCAUCAAACCUUAAUUAUAUAAAAGUUAACUGACUUAAAUGAUUAUUGUUGUUUAACCAAUUAUGUUGUCUUAUAUUGGAAGCCUAUUUGGACAAUCCAUAAAAAAAGAAACAAGAGUAGUAUGACUACGUGGACUACUUCAUUCAAGUGGAUUGCACCAAAAUAUUGUGGCAGGAAGAAAGGCGCUCGAACUCGUCAUCUUAGGAGGUGAGUGCAGUGCUUCAUCCAAGAAGACCCAGUGUAUCCUGGGUUUUACACUUUUCUAAUACAAAUCUAUAGCAUUGUGUUACCUUUGGGUUAUGUAUGUGUGUUUUACUUCUUUGCCACAACACAGAGUACAAGCCUACAAGCACCUACUUCCGAUGACGACGUUCUUUUGUAUAAUUGCUUUUUAGACAUAUAUUUGAUCAUAGUUUUCAUCUGAGAGCUGGGUAAAGGUUAAAAUUUUGUUGGGGCCAAUAUGAGUCGGUUGCUGCUAGGCGACUUCAAGAAACAAGAGUUCGAGUUCCGACUAACGCACACGACGAAUUAAAAACUUCAAAAAGGAACUUUUUUGAUGGUUGCAGAUGAUGAAGCCUAUGAAGCUGAAACCUGAAACAACCCAUCACCGUGCAGAACGUUUAAUAGAAGCAUACCUUUUGUACAACUUAUCUACAUAACACACUAGGUGUUAGUACAUUAGGUGUUGGUAUAUGCUAAUUUGUGAUCAACUUUCUACCAUUAAUAUUUGUAUUUCCUUGAUAGCAGGCUUGGUGAUGUGCCUAUGGAAUGUAGGUGUAACAAACACUUAGGUUUUAUCAA